GUAUGGGGGGGCUGCUUAACACAUGUUAGUCGAACGGUGCCUUCGGGCAUAGUGGCGGACGGGUGAGUAACGCGUGAGAAUCUAGCUCUAGGUCGGGGACAACCACUGGAAACGGUGGCUAAUACCGGAUGAGCCGAAAGGUAAAAGAUUUAUUGCCUAGAGAUGAGCUCGCGUCUGAUUAGCUAGUAGGUGUGGUAAGAGCGCACCUAGGCGACGAUCAGUAGCUGGUCUGAGAGGAUGAUCAGCCACACUGGGACUGAGACACGGCCCAGACUCCUACGGGAGGCAGCAGUGGGGAAUUUUCCGCAAUGGGCGAAAGCCUGACGGAGCAAUACCGCGUGAGGGAGGAAGGCUCUUGGGUUGUAAACCUCUUUUCUCAGGGAAUAAGAACUGAAGGUACCUGAGGAAUAAGCAUCGGCUAACUCCGUGCCAGCAGCCGCGGUAAUACGGAGGAUGCAAGCGUUAUCCGGAAUGAUUGGGCGUAAAGGGUCCGCAGGUGGCCUUGUAAGUCUGCUGUUAAAGAGUGAGGCUUAACCUCAUAAAAGCAGUGGAAACUACAAAGCUAGAGUGCGUUCGGGGUAGCAGGAAUUCCUGGUGUAGCGGUGAAAUGCGUAGAGAUCAGGAAGAACACCGGUGGCGAAAGCGUGCUACUAGGCCGUAACUGACACUGAGGGACGAAAGCUAGGGGAGCGAAUGGGAUUAGAUACCCCAGUAGUCCUAGCCGUAAACGAUGGAUACUAGGCGUGGCUUGUAUCGACCCGAGCCGUGCCGGAGCUAACGCGUUAAGUAUCCCGCCUGGGGAGUACGCACGCAAGUGUGAAACUCAAAGGAAUUGACGGGGGCCCGCACAAGCGGGUGGGAGUAAUGGUGGAUA
rnacentral:rRNA from 1 species